rnacentral:rRNA from 1 species
GAUGAACGCUGGCGGCGUGCCUAAUACAUGCAAGUCGAGCGAACAGACGAGGAGCUUGCUCCUCUGACGUUAGCGGCGGACGGGUGAGUAACACGUGGAUAACCUACCUAUAAGACUGGGAUAACUUCGGGAAACCGGAGCUAAUACCGGAUAAUAUAUUGAACCGCAUGGUUCAAUAGUGAAAGACGGUUUUGCUGUCACUUAUAGAUGGAUCCGCGCCGCAUUAGCUGGUUGGUAAGGUAACGGCUUACCAAGGCGACGAUGCGUAGCCGACCUGAGAGGGUGAUCGGCCACACUGGAACUGAGACACGGUCCAGACUCCUACGGGAGGCAGCAGUAGGGAAUCUUCCGCAAUGGGCGAAAGCUUGACGGAGCAACGCCGCGUGAGUGAUGAAGGUCUUCGGAUCGUAAAACUCUGUUAUUAGGGAAGAACAAAUGUGUAAGUAACUAUGCACGUCUUGACGGUACCUAAUCAGAAAGCCACGGCUAACUACGUG